GGCGGAUGCCUUGGCGCCAGGCGGCGACGAAGGACGUGGAAGGCUGCGAUAAGCCAUGGGGAGCUGCCUAACAAGCCUUGAUCCAUGGAUUUCCGAAUGGGGAAACCCGACCGGGGUCAUGCCCGGUUACUCGCCACUGAAUACAUAGGUGACGUAGAGCGAACCCGGGGAACUGAAACAUCUCAGUACCCGGAGGAAAAGAAAGAAACUUCGAGGCCCUUAGUAGCGGCGAGCGAAAAGGGCUGUUGCCUAAACUGUACUGUGUGCCAUGCAUGCGGGCUUAGCCAGUACAGGGUUGUGGGGCACUUU
rnacentral:rRNA from 1 species